rnacentral:miRNA from 1 species
UAUUUCAAAAGUUGCAUAUGACA